UCAACAAGCAAAUGUAAUGCGAAACAUCACUCUCUUAAAAGGGAAAGCGGCAUAUUUCACACUCCUGCCAUCACUUACUCUGAUGAGAGCAAAAAGGUCCCAGAUGAAGGCCACCAUUCCUUAAAAGCACCUGUGUUUCAACAUCAAGGUUAUAAUAGUUAAUUAAAACUAACGAAUAACUAAAAAAAAAACCAACAAAAAACAAGAGUUUAAUUUUCAUUAACAAAAGAAAAUGAAAAUGAGAGUGCUCUCCAAAAAAGAAUAACUGACACUACAAUUUACCUUCGGGGUUAGGGUUAGGGUUAGGGUUAGGGUUGGGUUAUGGUUUCAGGGUUCGGGGUUCAGGGUUAGGUGUUGGGUUUGGGGUUGGGAUUAGGGGUUGAGUUAGGUUUGGGUUGGGGUUAGGGGUUAACUGACUAACUAACUGGUUCAUGCUUGGGGGUUAGAGCUAGGGUUAGUGUUAGGGUUAGGGUUAGGAGUUAGAGUUAGGGGUUAGGGAUUAGAUUUAGGGUUAGGGUUAUGGUUAGUGGUUCAGGUCAGG